UGCCAGCCGCCGCGGUAAUACGGAGGGGGUUAGCGUUGUUCGGAAUUACUGGGCGUAAAGCGCACGUAGGCGGACUAUUAAGUAGAGGGUGAAAUCCCAUGGCUCAACCAUGGAACUGCCUUCUAUACUGGUAGUCUUGAGUUCGAGAGAGGUGAGUGGAAUUCCGAGUGUAGAGGUGAAAUUCGUAGAUAUUCGGAGGAACACCAGUGGCGAAGGCGGCUCACUGGCUCGAUACUGACGCUGAGGUGCGAAAGUGUGGGGAGCAAACGGGAUUAGAUA
rnacentral:rRNA from 1 species